UCUGCACCAGGUCCUCUGUGUAUGUUAUGGCUGUUACUUUUGUGGCUUUGUGCGACUUCUAACAGGGGGAGCACGGGUAUCUCUGAUUCUUUUGCCUGCUCUUGAGACUUGUUUCCUUCUACUGGAUUGCCUUGAGGGCACUUGUUUUUUCUUAUUGUAUCCUGUUUUGUUUUCAUAUUUAUUGUCUUUUAGAGACCUACUCUUUUUUUUUUAAAGGGAAACAGAGGAAGAGUGUAUCUUGUAAAGAUUGGAUGUGGGUGGAGAAGUAGAGGGAGGGAAAACUGUGGUCAGGAUUUAUUGUAUGAGAGAAAAUUUUGUAUUUUCUCUCUUUUUACAAUAUUUAUUUAUCCCCAGCCCAAAAUAUGCAUUUUUAAUAAACAAAAAUAUAGCAG
rnacentral:lncRNA from 1 species